rnacentral:rRNA from 1 species
AUUGAACGCUGGCGGCAUGCUUUACACAUGCAAGUCGAACGGUAACAGGCCGCAAGGUGCUGACGAGUGGCGAACGGGUGAGUAAUGCAUCGGAACGUGCCCAGUCGUGGGGGAUAACGCAGCGAAAGCUGUGCUAAUACCGCAUACGAUCUAUGGAUGAAAGCGGGGGACCGUAAGGCCUCGCGCGAUUGGAGCGGCCGAUGUCAGAUUAGGUAGUUGGUGGGGUAAAGGCCCACCAAGCCAACGAUCUGUAGCUGGUCUGAGAGGACGACCAGCCACACUGGGACUGAGACACGGCCCAGACUCCUACGGGAGGCAGCAGUGGGGAAUUUUGGACAAUGGGCGCAAGCCUGAUCCAGCAAUGCCGCGUGCAGGAAGAAGGCCUUCGGGUUGUAAACUGCUUUUGUACGGAACGAAAAGGUCUGGGUUAAUACCCUGGGCCGAUGACGGUACCGUAAGAAUAAGCACCGGCUAACUACGUGCCAGCCGCCGCAGUAAUAC